AUUGAACGCUGGCGGCAGGCCUAACACAUGCAAGUCGAACGAGUGGCGGACGGGUGAGUAAUGUCUGGGAAACUGCCUGAUGGAGGGGGAUAACUACUGGAAACGGUAGCUAAUACCGCAUACCAUCGGAUGUGCCCAGAUGGGAUUAGCUAGUAGGUGGGGUAAAGGCUCACCUAGGCGACGCGCCCUAGCUGGUCUGAGAGGAUGACCGGCAACAUGGGAAUGGAGACACGGUCCAGACCCCUACGGGAGGAGGCAGGGGGGAUCAUUGGACAAGGGGCGCAAGCUGGAAGAGGCAAGGCCGGUUGUAUGAAGAGGGCCUUCGGGUGGUAAAGUACUUUCAGCGGGGAGGCGUUACCAGCAGAAGAAGCACCGGCUAACUCCGUGCCAGCAGCCGGGGUAAUA
rnacentral:rRNA from 1 species